UACGAAGGGGGGCUAGCGUUGCUCGGAAUCACUGGGCGUAAAGGGUGCGUAGGCGGGUUUUUAAGUCAGGGGUGAAAUCCUGGAGCUCAACUCCAGAACUGCCUUUGAUACUGAAGAUCUUGAGUCCGGGAGAGGUGAGUGGAACUGCGAGUGUAGAGGUGAAAUUCGUAGAUAUUCGCAAGAACACCAGUGGCGAAGGCGGCUCACUGGCCCGAUACUGACGCUGAGGCACAAAAGCGUGGGGAGCAAACAGG
rnacentral:rRNA from 1 species